GUUGCCUCGGUUGGGCAAAUUCCAAAAGCUGUACUGAAAAGACAAGAUUUUAAUGAUGCCUCAAUCCCAAAUCAAAGGGAGAAUUACAGUCCUGUGUAUGUUCAGCCUCUAAGGAUGGCAGAUCCAGCAUCAGACUAUUUCCCUCACUCCCGAGCCCAGCGAGAUGGGUUUGACUAUCCCAGGAAGGAUUUGCCUUAUCCAGUUUAUCCAGAGGCGAGACAGUACCGGAGAUACUAAGAACAAGUGCUUCCUAUAUCAGAAAUGUCUUGGAAAGCUGCAUAAUUACUGGGCAAUCCAGGUGCUGAGAGAGCAGCGAGACCCUGGUGGGACACAGAGGAAAUUGCCAUUCUUAUUAGAUAGCACUAAGUUAUUGCAAAGAAAAGGUAUAGAGGAUAAUUGUAAAAGAAAACCUGAUAUAACAUGACAUUAACAUCUGAUUUAUUUGCUAUGUAAUUGGUGACGGCUUCCUGUGAAUCCCUGAUACUGGAGUGCACAAGGGUCUGGCCCUGGUAGUGUGGUACAAACACAGCCAAGGAUUUGGCUUCCCUCUGUCUCAAGAUUUAGCAAAUAUUUACAGGCCCAUUCCCUGUCCUUUGUCUUUUUUGCUUUGUCUUCUUUCUGUGCUGAUCCCAACAGCUGGAACGGUUUGCCUUUAGUACUGCCCUGGCUUGCUUUGUAACUUUUUUGUAAAUGAGGACAAUAAAUGAAGCUAUGGAAGAUUGACCACCUUGCCACUAAGUAACAAAUUAAAGACACUGAAGGCUGGGAUUUAUUUCCCAUUUUCCAAAAAGUCUGAAGCACAUUAUAUUGCGAUUUAUAUAAAAUGAUUUUCAUUAGUAUUAGGUAAUAUGUGAAACUAUAUGACAAAACUAGAAUAUUAAGGAUUUUAGAAAGGAUUUUUUGAUGCUUGUUUUCCCCUCAGUGUAACAAAAACUUCAAAGUGGCCAAAUUUCACUGGGUUUACUUCUACUGCUGCAAACUCUGUCAGAAAUAAAAGUGAGACUCGUUCCCUCUCUUAUCUUCAGAAACACACAGAAAUGGUGUUAGCACAUUUAUUUAGAUUCCAGACUAUCAGUUUAAACCAUUCUGACCUCAGAAAUUCAGAUCCAAAGGUGUCAGAAAACUGUGUCAGUGAAUUGCUUUUUCUGUCACUUCUCAGCCUCGGGUAGUGCCACAAUCUGACAAACAGUGGUGGUUGUUGACCUCAGUCCGGCUCUGUUGUACCAGCCUCAGAGUGACCACAGAAUCUGAGUGUUCAGUUUGAUAUUCCACCACUCCUCUGAAAAGGAGUAGGAGGCACAGAUAAGGCAAUGCUGUCAAUAUCCAUGGUGCUGGCAAGAGCAGAGCUGGCUAAACUGAGUCUCUCUCACUCUUUGCCCAAGUGUUCAGUUUUGUCGUUACCUUUUUCUGGUAUUUUUCCCUUCAUUCCUUACUUGUGUUGGGCAGUUUGAAAUUAUUUUGUCAUAAGAAUGUCUGUCUCUUGCUAGAGCUAGACUAAACGACUGGAAUGUUUUUCUUACUGAAUUUACUUUGGGGUGUGCUGUGUUAUGUGGCUUUACCAUUUAAAACAAAAAAUAAAGGGGAGGAGGGUCAAAUAUAAGUCUCCAAAUUCUCUGCUAAGGAGAUGAAAGUCCAGGAGGAUUAAUCUUUUGAGAAUUACAGAAGCUCCAUGGCUCUCUUGUCCUGAGGAGCCCAGAACUGGACACAGC
rnacentral:lncRNA from 1 species